ACAUGCAUUUAAACAUGAUGGAGAUUACAGUUGAACAUCAAUGUGUUUGUUUAUUUCAGAGAAUGGAAUGUGGUUGUCUGCAAUCCCAGUUUGGCAAUUUUGUUUCGUUGAAGAGUGAAAGGAGGAUAUCUCCAAAAAUGUUUCUUCUAAAAUGCAAUACACAGCAAGGUCCCAGUUUGCUUGAUUCUUUGAAGGUUCCCUCCUUGCUUUACAUUCAUUAGUUUCUUGCAGCUCUAAGGUUAAAUAAUUGAUCAUAAUUAACCAAAACAAGCAAAUUAGUUUUUUCUUCGCAUCUGAGUAUUUGUUUUUGGGCUCUUAUUACAAGUUUUUGAGAUGCUAUUGUUGUUUAGACUUGAGACGUUUUUGAAAAGUUGAAAGAGACAGCUUACACCAGCAUUAAUGCAUAAAGAAAUUAAUAUUAAUAGCACCCCACAAUUGAAAAGAUCUCUUCUAAUCUUUUCAAUUUUGAAGUAUUUCAACUUUCAAAUCCACUUCGAGUAUACUUUCUUUCUUCUGCAAUGGUUCAUCAUAAUCAUCAUCAUCAUCAUCAUUAUUAUUAUUAUUAUUAUUCAUCCAAUAUUUAGCCUCCUGACUGAAGUUGAUUUAUAUGGCUAAUUAAAAUUUGAGAUUUGUCUUAUGGAUGUAGCUCAUAUUCCCACUUACAGCACAAUUGCAGUAGGCUGGCAAUUCAACUGAAGUUUGGAAGUCCAUCAAAUCACUUGAUUCAGUUCCGAUAUCCGGUUAUCACAUGCUAUCAUCCUCAAAAUGCAGAUUUUCCUCUCUGCUAUUCUUAAAAAGAGAAGAAGCCAUUUCCUAUACCCAUAGUAUAGCUACGAGGUGCUGCCCGAGAGAGGCUGACAAAGAGUAAGGGCCAACAGAAAAGAGGUACCCCUCCUCCAAAACGAGGGUUGGUGGUUCAAAAGCUAAUUCCUGUUGCGUACGGGGUAUAUAAUGCAAGAGUAACAUGUUGGAAUAAUUCCAAAUAUG
rnacentral:lncRNA from 1 species